rnacentral:rRNA from 1 species
CCUACGGGGGGCUGCAGUAGGGAAUUUUCGGCAAUGGGGGGAACCCUGACCGAGCAACGCCGCGUGAACGAAGAAGUUCUUCUUAAUGUAAAGUUCUUUUAACCGGGAAGAAAGAGAAAUUUGACGGUACCUGCCGAAUAAGCUCCGGCUAACUACGUGCCAUCAGCCGCGGUAAUACGUAGGGAGCGAGCGGUAUCCGGAAUUAUUGGGCGUAAAGGGUGCGUAGAUGGAAUAGUAAGUCUGAUGUAAAAAUGCUGGGCUCAACCCAGUAGGGCAAAAGAUACUGCAAAGCUAGAGUAUGACAGAGGCAAGGGGAACGACAUGUGUAGCGGUAAAAUGCGUAAAUAUAUGUAAGAACACCAGUGGCGAAGGCGGCAUGCUGGGUCGAGACUGACAUUGAGGCACGAAAGCGUGGGGAGCAAACAGGAUUAGAUACCCGGGUAGUC